rnacentral:rRNA from 1 species
AGCAUGUGGUUUAAUUCGAUGCAACGCGAAGAACCUUACCAUCCCUUGACAUCCAGUGAAUUUCUAGAGAUAGAGAAGUGCCUUCGGGAACACUGAGACAGGUGCUGCAUGGCUGUCGUCAGCUCGUGUUGUGAGAUGUUGGGUUAAGUCCCGCAACGAGCGCAACCCUUAUCCUUAGUUGCCAGCACGUAAAGGUGGGAACUCUGGGGAGACUGCCGGUGAUAAACCGGAGGAAGGUGGGGACGACGUCAAGUCAUCAUGGCCCUUACGGGAUGGGCUACACACGUGCUACAAUGGCGCGUACAAAGGGAAGCAAGCUAGCGAUAGUGAGCGGAUCUCAAAAAGCGCGUCGUAGUCCGGAUCGGAGUCUGCAACUCGACUCCGUGAAGUCGGAAUCGCUAGUAAUCGCGGAUCAGAAUGCCGCGGUGAAUACGUUCCCGGGCCUU